rnacentral:rRNA from 1 species
GGUUCGAUCCUGGCUCCGAUUGAACGCUGGCGGGAUGCUUUACACAGAAGGGCAAGCUCGGCAACUGGUGCGCUGGACUUCGGUCUGGUGGCGAGUGGCGAACGGGUGAGUAAUGUAUCGGAACGCCCAGUGGGGAUAACCACGCCAGCGUAGCCGCCAAUACCGCAUACGCCCUUCGGGGGCAUGGGGACCUUCGGGCCUCGCACUCAUUAGAGCGGGCCGAUAUCGGAUUAGCUAGUUGGUGGGGUAACGGCUCACCAAGGCGACGAUCCGUAGCUGGUUUGAGAGGACGACCAGCCACACUGGGACUGAGACACGGCCCAGACUCCUACGGGAGGCAGCAGUGGGAAUUUUGGACAAUGUGGGGAAACCUGAUCCAGCCAUCAUCCUGGGGCGUGCUAGAUGGGCGGCCUCGGGUUGUAAAGCACUUUGAAAGAAACGGCACGGGAUAAUAUUCGUGUAAUCGACUGGUACCGCAGAAUAAGCACCGGCUAACUACGUGCCAGCAGCCGCGGUAAUACGUAGGGUGCAAGCGUUAAUCGGAAUUACUGGGCGUAAAAGUGCGCAGGCGGUUCGGAAAGAAAGACGUGAAAUCCCAGAGCUUAACUUUUGGAACUGCAUUUUUAACUACCGAGCUAGAGUGUGUCAGAGGGAGGUGGAAUCUUUGAAAAGAAAUGCGUAGAUAUGCGGAGGAACACCGAUGGCGAAGGCAGCCCGGGAUAACAUCACUACGAAAAGCGGAGCAAACAGGAUUAGAUAAUCGGUAGUCCACGUCUCAAACGAUGUCAGUUCGCUAGCUGUUGGGGUCCCCGGGUAUUUUCUGUAGCGCAGCUAACGCGUAAAGUUUGACCGCUCAGAGUACGGUCGCAAGAUUAAAAACUCAAAGGAAGGCUGACGGGGACCCGCACAAGCGGUGGAUGAUGUGGAUUACCCGAUGUGCAACGCGAAAAACCUUACCUACCCUGACAUGUCUGGAAUCCCGAAGAGAUUUGGGAGUGCCCGCAAGAGAACCGGAACACAGGUGCUGCAUGGCUGCUCUGUCACCGUGUCGAGAUGCUGUAGUUAAAGUCCUGCAACGAGCGCAACCCUUGUCAUUAGUUGCUGAGCUGAAAGCGCACUCUAAUGAGACGUCGCCGUGGUGACAAACCGGAGGAAGGUGGGGAUGACGUCAAGUCCUCAUGGCCUUUUAUGGGUAGCUUCACACGUCAUACAAUGGCCGGGACAGAGGUCGCCAACCCGCGAGGGGGAGCCAACUCUAGAAACCCGAUCGUAGGUCCGAUCGCAGUCUGCAACUCGACUGCGUGAAGUCGGAAUCGCUAGUAAUCGCGGAUCAGCAUGUCGUGGUGAAUACGUUCCCGGGUCUGGUGGCGACACCGCCCGUCACACCAUGGGAGUGGGUUUUACCAGAAGUAGUUAGCCUAACCGUAUGAGGGCGAUUACGGUAGAUUCAUGACUGGGGUGAAGUCGUAACAAGGUAA